UACGGAGGAUGCAAGCGUUAUCCGGAUUUAUUGGGUUUAAAGGGUGCGCAGGUUGUUUGAUAAGUCAGUGGUGAAAGUCUGUCGCUUAACGGUAGGACUGCCAUUGAUACUGUUGGACUUGAAUAUGGAUGAGGUAGGCGGAAUGUGUAGUGUAGCGGUGAAGUGCAUAGAUAUUACACAGAACACCAAUUGCGUAGGCAGCUUACUGAGCCGACACUGACGCUGAGGCACGAAAGCGUGGGGAUCGAACAGGA
rnacentral:rRNA from 1 species